rnacentral:rRNA from 1 species
UACGAAGGGGGCUAGCGUUGUCCGGAAUUACUGGGCGUAAAGCGCGCGUAGGCGGAUCGCUAAGUCAGGGGUGAAAUCCCAGGGCUCAACCCUGGAACUGCCUUUGAUACUGACGAUCUGGAGAUCGGGAGAGGUUGGUGGAAUUCCGAGUGUAGAGGUGAAAUUCGUAGAUAUUCGGAGGAACACCAGAAGCGAAGGCGGCCAACUGGCCCGAUACUGACGCUGAGGCGCGAAAGCGUGGGGAGCAAACAGG